GACGACGACGGGUAGCCGGCCUGAGAGGGCGACCGGCCACACUGGGACUGAGACACGGCCCAGACUCCUACGGGAGGCAGCAGUGGGGAAUAUUGCACAAUGGGGGAAACCCUGAUGCAGCGACGCMGCGUGCGGGAUGACGGCCUUCGGGUUGUAAACCGCUUUCAGCAGGGAAGAAGCGCAAGUGACGGUACCUGCAGAAGAAGUACCGGCUAACUACGUGCCAGCAGCCGCGGUAAUACGUAGGGUACGAGCGUUGUCCGGAAUUAUUGGGCGUAAAGAGCUCGUAGGUGGUUGGUCACGUCUGCUGUGGAAAGCAACGCUUAACSGUGCGCSGGCAGUGGGUACGGGCUGACUAGAGUGCAGUAGGGGAGUCUGGAAUUCCUGGUGUAGCGGUGAAAUGCGCAGAUAUCAGGAGGAACACCGGUGGCGAAGGCGGRACUCUGGGCUGUAACUGACACUGAGGAGCGAAAGSAUGGGGAGCGAACAGGAUUAGAUACCCUGGUAGUCCAUGCCGUAAACGUUGGGCACUAGGUGUGGGGGGCAUUCCACGUUCUCCGCGCCGUAGCUAACGCAUUAAGUGCCCCGCCUGGGGAGUACG
rnacentral:rRNA from 1 species